AUGUAAAUGCAUAUAACAUAGCGUUAAUGCACUGAAUCCCAUUAGAACUCCAUAGUCAAGCGCUCUCAGGCUAGAGUAGUACUGGGAUGGGUGACUGCUCAGGAAGUAUUAGUGUUUUACAUG
rnacentral:rRNA from 1 species